GGGAUUCUGCUGGUUUUCUCGAUCUCCCUGCUCCAUCUUCUCGUGAUUACCUGGUCAGGUGUGUCCGACCAGUUAGAAGCAUGAUGGGGAAAAAGGGAGGACAUUUCCAGGAAUUGAAGGACCUCCUGUUUUUUUAUUUUUUUAUUAUUAACCUCUCUUUUUUUGCUUCUAAUUGGCUUAACACACUUUUUCCAUCCAAUCAGAGGUAAGUAGAAAAGGGAGAUCUGGAAAACGAGCUCUAUCUCAGCCUGCGAGGCCUAGAGCUGGACACCUCUGGUUUAGAGACUGUUUUUCAGGCAACACUGGGUUAGACCAGCAGGAAUCUAUUCCAUCCAGAGCCGGCCUCGGCAGCCUGUCUGCGUUUUGCCCAUGAAAACAAACAUCAGAAGUUUUGCGAAGAUGUAUGUAUUACACUUAAAACUAAGGAAGUUGAUUUUUCAUGCUAAAGGACCUUUAAAUAUGAGUUGGCGGACAUUUUUUUUUAACUGUCUUAUGGUGGAGAGUAUCUAAAAUCUUUUUUUUUUGUGGAAUAAAAUUCAGGUAUGAAGACGUUAUAAAAACAGGUUAUACAGAAAGAGACUUUACAAAAAGCUGAAACAUGUCCAGCUGCUCCAUGUUCAUGUAUCUGUGUCUCUAAAGCCAAAUUUCCUGUUUUGGUCACGCAGAACAGGAGAUCCACUGCAGGUGCUCUUCCAUUCAUCUUUGAAGAGGAUCGCUCAACCUUCAUUAAGUUGGCAGAGACCACUGACGCUGCAGGGGUACCAGCAGUGAUGAAGGGAGUGAGUGUUUGCCUACGGAUCACCAUGGAGCAAAAUGCAGAGAUGACAACCCAGUCAAGAACUUUGUGAAUGUUGCUGUAAUCCUGGAGGAGUGCAUCAUUUUGCGUGAGUUGCGAUAUGUACCAAAUGGCUUUGCAGUGCUGAUUGGACAACUUUACUGCUUCAACGUUGAUUAUCGGAAGUAACUGAAGUACACCUUUAAGUUCUUUCAGAACUUCAGGGGUAGAGUGGGCUCUGUUUGGGUUCAUAGACUGUUGAACAAACUGCUUCAGUGCACAAUGUCGAAACGUUCUUCAGAAUAGAGCAGCUCCAUGCCAUUUUUGUUUGAACACUGUUCAGUAAAUACAUUUUAAGGAAUUGACAUGUGUGUAAUGUUUUAGAUGUCCUGUUUAUAGAACAACACAAAACAAUAUUCCUGCAUUAAUUUAGUCAGACCUGUUUUUGGUACAUUUGCAUUUGUGAUCUUUAAAGUCUGCUGUUGUGUGACGCAUAAGAGAAAGCAAGUUAUUUGUUCAAGUUUAAACAAGCACAAACAGAAAUAUCUUCUUGCACUGUGACAUUUGUUAAAGACUCACUCCAAUGAAAACACUAUUUUUUUGUGUGUUUAAUUUGUUCUUGUAGCAUUUUUCUCAUAUUAGAGGACCUAUAUAAAAUAAUUAUGAUGAUUAGAUCUGCACUUCUGAAGAUUCCUUUUUCCAAAUCACAUUGGAUCAGAAACCAGACGCUUGGAAAAGCUAAUGAUGCAGCUACUGAAAUAGGCGUGUUAAGAGCUCCAUUCUGAUGCAUCAGCUUGCGCAUGACUAGAUCCGUGUAGGUAUUGGUUUUCCUGGUCCAAGCUGGGGUCUGGCUAAAACUUUACAACUGGAUUGAUCCGAUAUUGCUCAUCGUUAUUUUUGCAUUGCCAAUGUUACCUUGAAACUAUUAAGAGUGAGUGCAACAGAGCUUCCCUGUGAUGGGCAGAUGCGGGGUUGCUCUGACCCAAGUCCCGCCCACAACCCAGACUUAUAUUUCUAAUGAGCUACUGCUGCUAUGCAUAAAAUAUGUCUUAAAAAACGACAAAGGCUUUUUGAUUUUGGCUAUAACUGCAGUCAUAAUUGAAAAGACUACUGAGAACAAUAUAAAAAAUAUGGUUGGAGUGGGACUUUAAGAAAUUCAUAGUUUUUUUUUUUGUUGAAAGCCAGUGACAAUUUAAACUGUCGUGUUUCUGUAUUUGAAAUGGCUAGGCAACUGCUUUACUCCCUGUAAUGUCAUUGUGAUUAACAUGUAAGCACAGACAAAAACAUAAAACAAACACUGAGUCACA